GUCGCCUUCCACUUUGGGCAGAGAAAUGUCCAUGUCGCCCUUCACCUUUGGACCUUUCAGAUUCAGGUCAACUUCAGGCAUAGAGAUCUUCGGUGCCUUGAGGUGUAAGUCAGGCAUUUUAAAUUUGGGGCCCUUCAGUUUCCCUUCUGGACCAUGAAUAUCAAUAUCAGGAGUGUCAAUGUCCACUUUGGGUCCUGAGACAUCAAUGUCAGCUUUGGGCAAAUUAACAUCCACUUCUGGGCCCUCUCCUUUAAAUCCUGGCAUGCUGAAUUUGGGCAUUUUCACCUUGGGCAUCUUCAGGUGCCAGUCUGGGCCAUGAACAUCCACAUCUGGGGCAUCAAUGUCCACUUUGGGCAUUUUCACCUUGGGCAUCUUCAGGUGCCAAUCUGGGCCAUGAACAUCCACAUCUGGAGCACUAAUGUCAACUUUGGGCCCUUUAAUGUCAACAUCUGGCACUUUCAUUUCACCU
rnacentral:lncRNA from 1 species